rnacentral:rRNA from 1 species
UUCGUAGGGGGCAAGCGUUGUCCGGAUUCACUGGGCGUAAAGGGUUCGCGGGCGGAAAUGCAAGUCAGAUGUAAAAGGCAGUAGCUUAACUACUGUAAGCAUUUGAAACUGCAUAUCUUGAGAAGAGUAGAGGUAAGUGGAAUUUUUAGUGUAGCGGUGAAAUGCGUAGAUAUUAGGAAGAAUACCGGUGGCGAAGGCGACUUACUGGGCUGAGUCUGACGCUGAGG